rnacentral:rRNA from 1 species
UGGGGAAUAUUGCGCAAUGGACGAAAGUCUGACGCAGCAACGCCGCGUGAGUGAUGAAGGCCUUCGGGUUGUAAAGCUCUGUCGGGUGGAACGAAAAGGCAGGGUGUGAAUAAUGCUCUGAUUUGACGGUACCACCAGAGGAAGCACCGGCUAACUCCGUGCCAGCAGCCGCGGUAAUACGGAGGGUGCAAGCGUUGCUCGGAAUUAUUGGGCGUAAAGCGCACGCAGGCGGCAGGAUAAGUCAGUUGUGAAACUCCCGGGCUUAACUUGGGAACUGCAGCUGAUACUGUUCUACUUGAGUACGGAAGAGGGGAGCGGAAUUCCCAGUGUAGAGGUGAAAUUCGUAGAUAUUGGGAGGAACACCGGUGGCGAAGGCGGCUCCCUGGUCCGAUACUGACGCUCAUGUGCGAAAGCGUGGGGAGCAAACAG